UGAUAGAUGAGUAAAAGUUGACCAUAAACUGUUCGUCAAAUUAGCUGCAAGUGGUGCUAUCAGUCUUUACGGUAGAGAUGAAGAAAGGUUUAAAGGCUAGAUAUGACAAAAGGUUUUAAGGCUAGAGAUGCAAUAAGUGUUAAGGCUAGAAAGAAAAAAAUUAUGGCUAGAGAUUACCACAGUUUUAAGGCUAGUAUCAAAAAGUUGUAAGGCUAUAGUUGAAAGAGGCUUAAAAACUAGAGAUGAAAAAAAGUGAAAGGCUAGAAAUGAGAAACAAUUGUCAGGCUAGAGAUUACAAUCGUUAAGGCUAGCAUCGAAAAGUUUUAAGGCUAGACUUAUCAAAAAGUUUUAAGGCUUGACGUAUCAAAAAGUUUUAAGGCUAGUAUUAAAAAUUUUAAGGCUAGUAUCAAAAAGUUUUAAGGCUAGUAUCAAAAAGUUUAAAGGCUAGUAUCAAAAUUUUUAAAGCAAGCAUCAAAAAUUUUAAGGCAAGUAUCAAAAAGUCUUGUCUAGUAUCAAAAAGUUUAAAGGUUAGUAUUAACAAGUUUUAAGGCUAGUAUCAAAACGUUUUCAGGACAGUAUCAAAAAGUUUCAAGGCUAGUAUCAAAAAGUUUCAAGGCUAGUAUCAAAAAGUUUAAAGGCUAGUAUCAAAAAGUUUUCAGGCUAGUGUCGAAACGUUUUAAGGCAGUAUAAAAACAGUUAAAAAGUUUCAAGGCUA